rnacentral:rRNA from 1 species
UACGUAGGCAGCGAGCGUUGUUCGGAGUUACUGGGCGUAAAGGGUGUGUAGGCGGUUGUUUAAGUUUGGUGUGAAAUCUCCCGGCUCAACUGGGAGGGUGCGCCGAAUACUGAAUGACUUGGAGUGCGGGAGAGGAGAGUGGAAUUCCUGGUGUAGCGGUGAAAUGCGUAGAUAUCAGGAGGAACACCGGUGGUGUAGACGGCUCUCUGGACCGUAACUGACGCUGAGACGCGAAGGCGUGGGGAGCGAACGGG